UGCUCCGUGGCGCAAUUGGUUAGCGCGUCUGACUGUUAAGCACUGCAAGGCGGUAUCAGGAGGUUGAGAGUUCAAGCCUCUCCGGAGCAG
rnacentral:tRNA from 1 species